UACGUAGGGUCCGAGCGUUGUCCGGAUUUAUUGGGCGUAAAGAGCUCGUAGGCGGCUCAGUAAGUCGGAUGUGAAAACUCGGGGCUCAACCCCGAGACGCCAUCCGAUACUGCUGUGGCUUGAGUCUGGUAGGGGAGCACGGAAUUCCUGGUGUAGCGGUGAAAUGCGCAGAUAUCAGGAAGAACACCCGUGGCGAAAGCGGCUCUCUGGAACGGUACUGACGCUGAGACGCGAAAGCGUGGGGAGCGAACAGG
rnacentral:rRNA from 1 species